GAUCUUGGUCAGGAUGAACGCUAGCUACAGGCUUAACACAUGCAAGUCGAGGGGCAGCAUUGGGAUAGCUUGCUAUUCAGAUGGCGACCGGCGCACGGGUGAGUAACGCGUAUCCAACCUUCCUGCCAGUAGGGAACAGCCCGGCGAAAGUCGGAUUAAUGCCCUAUGUUCUUCAAUGCGGACAUCUAAGUUGAAGGAAAGAUUCAUCGCUGGCAGAUGGGGAUGCGUCCGAUUAGCUUGCCGGCGGGGUAACGGCCCACCGGGGCGACGAUCGGUAGGGGUUCUGAGAGGAAGGUCCCCCACACUGGUACUGAGACACGGACCAGACUCCUACGGGAGGCAGCAGUGAGGAAUAUUGGUCAAUGGGCGUAAGCCUGAACCAGCCAAGGUUAAGCGUGCAGGACGACGGCCCUACGGGUUGUAAACUGUCUUUUAUGCGGGGAUAAGUUCGCCACGUGUGGUGUUUUGUAUGUACCGUAUGAAUAAGGACCGGCUAAUUCCGUGCCAGCCGCGGC
rnacentral:rRNA from 1 species